AUACGGAGGGUGCAAGCGUUAUCCGGAUUCAUUGGGUUUAAAGGGUGCGCGGGCGGAUAUUUAAGUCAGUGGUGAAAUCCCGGGGCUCAACCUCGGAACUGCCAUUGAUACUGAAUAUCUGGAAUACGGUUGAAGUGGGCGGAAUGUAGCAUGUAGCGGUGAAAUGCAUAGAGAUGCUACAGAACACCGAUCGCGAAGGCAGCUCACUAAGCCGAUAUUGACGCUCAGGCACGAAAGCGUGGGGAGCGAACAGGAUUAGAAACCCCAGUAGUCC
rnacentral:rRNA from 1 species